rnacentral:misc_RNA from 1 species
CUCCAAGAAACCUAUCAAAUGAACCCUGAUACUUCACUUUUGUGCUUUCUACCAGACUAUGAGUCAUAUACAUUGUAGCUUCUCAUGAUACACUCCUUAUUAGACAGUGGGAUGUGCAUCAACACUCCAUACUAUUUAAUUUAGACAGUUCAUACUUCCUAACAGACUAUGAAUCGCUGAGAUCCUGCUUUUCCUAUCACUUCACUUUCAGCUCAAUCUUUAGAGCGUAAACAAUUUACAGUUGAAUUCUAACAUUAGAAAGUACAAGAUAAGAACUUUCCAAUAGUAUCUCACAGUCCAAAUAUUUUCGAAUUGCCAGAAUGAGGGCCCAAAAGGCAUAUACCUAAGCUAUAAAGCCAUUUAUGGCGCCCAACAACCUCAGGUGGCACCAAGGAGAAGGCUCCAGUAACCCCAUGGCAUGAUGCUCUAUUUUUUCUAUAAAUAACAUCCCCACUAUUUUUAACCGCACCCCCUGCACACAGUGCAUUCUACAUCUAUCCUCUCUACAAACUUAUUAGUGCAUAUCUCUUAGUUACUCUGCAUGAAUUCCACUAAAAGAUACAAAGAUACUCUUUAAAUUCCUGCAUAUUCUCUGGCACUAUCUUCCUUUUUGAAGAGGUAAAUUCAAAUAUCAUUACUUUUUCCUUUUAAAUUUCUUGCAAAUAAUUAUUGUUUUGAUGUUACUCUGCUUAAUAUUAUACUUGUCUUUACCAUACCAUUUGCUAUCAUUUACAUUGGCACACCAACAAAUAAGAUCCUUAAGACCACCUAUGGUUUUGGUUGUUCUGAGGAGCAUGGCCCCCAUAAUGUCAAUAUAUUAAAAGAUAGAAAUUUUGGACAAGUACAAGCUGAUGAGAAGCUGAACUUCCAAAUGAUCUGAAUAGUAGAUUUCCUCACAUGGUUAAUCUAGGAAAUUUUCCACAACAAAUUACAAUUCAAGCCUUAUUCUAAAAUUUGACCCUUAGAAAAAUUUUAGGAUAAUCACUUUAAGCAUAAACAACGCAUUAUGAUAAAGUACCAUCUUUUGAAUGGCAUUCUGCAGUAAAACAUUCUCCACGCACAAGCAAUAUCCUUUCCCGUAUUUUAAAUCCACCAACCAAGCCUUAUUUUGUGUUUUUUCUAGGAUUUUGAGAAAUGAGAGCCCACAUAUAUUAUUUAGACUGUUACGCUUAUGUUUCCUCAAAAAAUAUAAGGCAGCCCAAGUUCCCUAGAUUCACAACCAUUACAACAAAUAUGAACGCUACCAAGGCUUCCAACAUCCAUAAAAAUGAGUCUUCAUUUUUAUUGCAGCACUUUUUCUUCAUUUUUAAAUUUAUGAGUACCGCAAUGAUACGAAUUUCCAAAAUAUUAUUAAUGUAGAACCAAUAGGUAUAAUGGGGAUUUGAGGAUGAGAAACAAAUUCUCAGUUCUCAUUGCUCAAAUCAAUAAUCAAAAUCAUAAUAAGUUCUGCAAACAAAAAAGAGAAAGUAAGCCCUAUUUAUAGAGUUUUGAAACCCUAAAUACAUUAGGAUUUUUAGGAACCCUAAAUUAACUACAAUUAGGACUUAGGCACUAAAUAAAACUUCUAAUUAAUAUAAACUACUUCCUAUAAUUUCUCCUAAAAUAAGUAGUCCUAAAAU